rnacentral:rRNA from 1 species
GACGUAGGGCGCGAGCGUUGUCCGGAUUUAUUGGGCGUAAAGAGCUCGUAGGCGGCUUGUUGCGUCAGCUGUGAAAACCCGCAGCUCAACUCCGGGCCUGCAGUCGAUACGGGCAGACUGGAGUUCGGCAGGGGAGACUGGAAUUCCUGGUGUAGCGGUGAAAUGCGCAGAUAUCAGGAGGAACACCGGUGGCGAAGGCGGGUCUCUGGGCCGAUACUGACGCUGAGGAGCGAAAGCGUGGGGAGCGAACAGG